GGGGUGAACGUGGUGAAGGUGGGCCAUAAGCAAGUGGUGUCUCUGAUUAGACAGGGGGGCAACAGCCUGCUGAUGAAGGUGGUCUCUGUCACACGCAAACCAUGAGUCUGAGGAGGUAGUCCGCAAGAAAGCUCCCCCACCACCCAAAAGAGCCCCCAGCACCACCUUGACGCUGCGCUCCAAGUCCAUGACUGCCGAACUGGAGGAACUGGCUUCCGUCCGGAGGAGGAGAGGAG